UACAGAGGUCUCAAGCGUUGUUCGGAUUCAUUGGGCGUAAAGGGUGUGUAGGUGGCGCGCUAAGUCGGGUGUGAAAUUUCGGAGCUUAACUCCGAAACUGCAUUCGAUACUGGCGUGCUUGAGGACUGGAGAGGAGACUGGAAUUCAUGGUGUAGCAGUGAAAUGCGUAGAGAUCAUGAGGAGACCAGUGGCGAAGGCGGGUCUCUGGACAGUUCCUGACACUGAGACACGAAGGCCAGGGGAGCAAACGGG
rnacentral:rRNA from 1 species